UAAGCCAUGCGAGUUUAGGGGCUCUUCGGAGCACCGGCGGACGGCUCAGUAACACGUGGACAACCUACCCUCGGGUGGGGGAUAACCUCGGGAAACUGAGGCUAAUACCCCAUAGGUCUCGGAUACUGGAAGGUUCCGAGGCUGAAAGCUCCGGCGCCCGAGGAUGGGUCUGCGGCCUAUCAGGUAGUUGGUGGUGUAAAGGACCACCAAGCCUGCGACGGGUACGGGCCCUGAGAGGGGAAGCCCGGAGAUGGACUCUGAGACACGAGUCCAGGCCCUACGGGGCGCAGCGGGCGCGAAACCUUCGCAAUGCGCGAAAGCGCGACGAGGGGAGCCCGAGUGCCCUUCCUUCGGGGAGGGCUUUUCUGGAGCCUAAAAAGCUCCAGGAAUAAGGGCUGGGCAAGACGGGUGCCAGCCGCCGCGGUAAUACCCGCAGCUCAAGUGGUGGCCGCUAUUAUUGAGCCUAAAGCGUCCGUAGCCGGACCCGUAAAUCCCUGGGUAAAUCCUGGCGCUCAACGUCAGGAAUUCCGGGGAGACUGCGGGUCUUGGGACCGGGAGAGGCCGGAGGUACUCCCGGGGUAGCGGUGAAAUGCUGUAAUCCUGGGGGGACCACCUGUGGCGAAAGCGUCCGGCUUGAACGGCUCCGACGGUGAGGGACGAAGGCCAGGGGAGCGAACCGGAUUAGAUACCCGGGUAGUCCUGGCUGUAAACGCUGCCCGCUUGGUGUUGCCGGUCUCUCGGGGGCCGGCAGUGCCGGAGCGAAGGUGUUAAGCGGGCCGCUUGGGAAGUACGGCCGCAAGGCUGAAACUUAAAGGAAUUGGCGGGAGAGCACUGCAACGGGAGGAGCGUGCGGUUUAAUUGGAUUCAACGCC
rnacentral:rRNA from 1 species